UCUCUUUCAGUACUAUCAUCCGCAUUGUAAUGGACUGUGAUGUAGUAACGAGCAAAUUUAAAGGCACCUCUCAAAGGCAAAGGAUACUCCUUUCUGAUCGCAUCACCUUCUCACCAGAUUGAGCGGGGGAAAGCACUGAUAACCAGUUACUGAAAAAAAUUGACAGCUAGUGUUUUUUUACCAUUCGCUGUUACCCAAGGACUUGGGAACUAAAAUGUUCCCCCAGUGCGAUAUGUUGAUUUUCAGUGUGCAAAUGGACUGAAUCACAUAAGUUUCUCAGCCAGUAACCAUAUAAUUAUGCAGAUUAUAUCUUCCAAAGUUUGGAAUGCUCCCAUCUGAAAAAGACUAUCAUUGGUUGUUGAGCUAUAGGAAGAACUUAAACAUAUACUGUGUAAACAGUACCUUACAUUUCUAAAAUCACAAAUGUAGGAGAAAUAUGCAGACAUACAGAUAUAUAGGCCAACUCCUAGCAAUAAUAUGAAAUAUACUUAAAGAGCUUUUAAAACUUUGUAUUUUUGUACAAAAUAUUUGCCUUUUACAAUUAUUUUUUUUUCCUUUUUUUGUCAUUUUACCAAUAUAAUACAUGGCACCAAAGAAAACAAUAAUGGUACUAAUAAAAUCUCAUUGGGUUUCUUGCCAUAUUUAAUUCUACCCAGUGGCAAAGAAUUUUUUUCAGUCGUGGCUUAAAAAAAAUUUAAAUAGACAUGUAUAUAUAUAUUUUUUAAAGUAUCAUCUUCUCAGAGGAGUCAAUCACUUGAGAUGUCUAGAAAUAUCCUUGCAGAUUUGCCAGUGUAGAUCAAGCCCGAGCACAAACAUCGCUCAGUCAAGUGGGCUGUGCCUUGAGCCCAUCACCCACCAACACUCUUGAUGGGUGCCCGGUGAAGCUCAGAGGAAGUGGUCAACUCAGGAUGGGUCUUUAUUUCAUUUUGGUGGAGUCAGGGUGGUGGAGAGGCAUCUGUUAGGAAGGGCAGACCACUCAAAUCUUGCUAUCUAGGAGGCCCUGUUUGAUGGCUGAGGUAUAACUGUGCUUGAUAUCAGACCCUUUCCAGAGCUGAUACCAACUGCUGGAAAAGUAUGGUGUCACAUCGGCCAGAGGCAGAAAUGCUAGAAAGAUGGGAACCAGCUAUGUGCUACCUGGGAAGUUUGUUUUCUUAAGUAGGGUUCCAAGAACAUAAUUCCAAGAUGCAUGCAUGGUGGAAUGCAAGAAUGAAGUUUUGGCCAUUAUGCUGAACUUCUCCAAAGAACCUUUCCUCCGUGCCCAUCUUCCGUCUACUCCUUGACUUGCCACUGAAAAGUCUAAUGUAAAAAGUGCUGAAAUUAGGCAUUAAAAAUAUGCUAAAAGGUAAGAUUUCCAUCCAACAGAUUCCCUCCCCUCCGCUCCCAAGGGUCUUCCCAGGCAAUGCUGCUACCUGUCCCAAAUAAAAUGGUGAAAGAAUAAAGACAGUUUGACUUUCCCACCUGCA